GCGUGAGUGAUGAAGGCCUUAGGGUUGUAAAGCUCUUUUACCAGGGAUGAUAAUGACAGUACCUGGAGAAUAAGCUCCGGCUAACUCCGUGCCAGCAGCCGCGGUAAUACGGAGGGAGCUAGCGUUGUUCGGAAUUACUGGGCGUAAAGCGCACGUAGGCGGUUAUUCAAGUCAGAGGUGAAAGCCCGGAGCUCAACUUCGGAACUGCCUUUGAAACUAGGUAACUAGAAUCCUGGAGAGGUGAGUGGAAUUCCGAGUGUAGAGGUGAAAUUCGU
rnacentral:rRNA from 1 species